AUUGAACGCUGGCGGCAGGCCUAAUACAUGCAAGUCGAACGGCAGCACAGCAGAGCUUGCUCUGUGGGUGGCGAGUGGCGGACGGGUGAGGAAUACAUGGGAAUCUGCCCAGUCGUGGGGGAUAACGUAUGGAAACGUACGCUAAUACCGCAUGCGCCCUAAGGGGGAAAGCCGGGGACCGCAAGGCCUGGCGCGAUUGGAUGAGCCCAUGUUCGAUUAGCUAGUUGGCGGGGUAAAGGCCCACCAAGGCGACGAUCGAUAGCUGGUCUGAGAGGAUGAUCAGCCACACUGGAACUGAGACACGGUCCAGACUCCUACGGGAGGCAGCAGUAGGGAAUAUUGGACAAUGGGGGCAACCCUGAUCCAGCCAUGCCGCGUGAGUGAAGAAGGCCCUCGGGUUGUAAAGCUCUUUUGUCCGGAAAGAAAAGCAAUCGGUUAAUACCCGGUUGUCCUGACGGUACCGGAAGAAUAAGCACCGGCUAACUUCGUGCC
rnacentral:rRNA from 1 species